rfam:Stegodyphus mimosarum contig11734, whole genome shotgun sequence.
GCCUGCGUGGUGUAGCGGUCAGCAUACUCGGCGCAUAUUCGAGAGGUCUGUAGUUCGAGUCUCGGCGACGGCA